rnacentral:rRNA from 1 species
UACGUAGGGACCAAGCGUUGUCCGGAAUCAUUGGGCGUAAAGAGCGUGUAGGCGGCUUGUUAAGUCUUGCGUGAAAUCUCGGGGCUCAACCCCGAGCGGUCGUGAGAAACUGGCAGGCUAGAGUGCGGGAGAGGAGAGUGGAAUUCCUGGUGUAGCGGUGAAAUGCGCAGAUAUCAGGAAGAACACCCGUGGCGAAGGCGGCUCUCUGGAACGCAACUGACGCUGAGACGCGAAAGCGUGGGGGAGCAAACAGGG